AUUGAACGCUGGCGGCAUGCCUUACACAUGCAAGUCGAACGGCAGCACGGGUGCUUGCACCUGGUGGCGAGUGGCGAACGGGUGAGUAAUACAUCGGAACGUACCUUAUCGUGGGGGAUAACGCAGCGAAAGCUGUGCUAAUACCGCAUACGCCCUGAGGGGGAAAGCGGGGGAUCGCAAGACCUCGCGCGAUUAGAGCGGCCGAUGCCUGAUUAGCUUGUUGGUGGGGUAAAAGCCCACCAAGGCGACGAUCAGUAGCUGGUCUGAGAGGACGAUCAGCCACACUGGGACUAAGACACGGCCCAGACUCCUACGGGAGGCAGCAGUGGGGAAUUUUGGACAAUGGGGGCAACCCUGAUCCAGCAAUGCCGCGUGAGUGAAGAAGGCCUUCGGGUUGUAAAGCUCUUUUGUCAGGGAAGAAACACCGGCUCUAACACAGUCCGGGAAUGACGGUACCUGAAGAAUAAGCACCGGCUAACUACGUGCCAGCCGCCGCGGUAAAAC
rnacentral:rRNA from 1 species